UACGAAGGGGGCUAGCGUUGCUCGGAAUCACUGGGCGUAAAGGGUGCGUAGGCGGGUCUUUAAGUCAGGGGUGAAAUCCUGGAGCUCAACUCCAGAACUGCCUUUGAUACUGAGGAUCUUGAGUUCGGGAGAGGUGAGUGGAACUGCGAGUGUAGAGGUGAAAUUCGUAGAUAUUCGCAAGAACACCAGUGGCGAAGGCGGCUCACUGGCCCGAUACUGACGCUGAGGCGCGAAAAGCGUGGGGAGCAAACAGGG
rnacentral:rRNA from 1 species